CAUUUUGUCUCUCUCUAAAACUCAGUUUCAGAUUUUCUCUAUCUUCUCUCUACCACAAUUCUAUCUUCUCUCUACCAAAUCUCUUCUCUGAACCGUUUAAUCUUCGAUCAGGUGUCGUCAAAACGUCCGCAACGUAGUGGGCUUCGAAACUAACCGAUUCAUUUUGGGUUUUAAGCUGGUUGUAGGGUUUUAUUGAGUUCUUGCGGUGAAGGAACUGUUGGUGUGUUCUUGCGAGCUAUCCAUUCAAGUUACUCUAAGUGAUGGAUGAGGUGCCUCUGGAGCAGGCUUUGGAGGAAGAUGAUGUUGUUGCUUAGUCUCCUUAGGAUUCUAUCAAUUAUUCUUUAUCUUUUGAAAUACUCUAUUAUGUUUAAGUUUUAAAUUAAGACUCAAUUUGGGAUGACUGUAAGCUUAAAACUUUAUUUAUAGUCUACUCUAACUAUUCUCUUUUAUAUAAAUAUGGACUUACU